GGGCCCGCACAAGCGGUGGAGUAUGUGGUUUAAUUCGAUACAACGCGCAAAACCUUACCAGCUCUUGACAUAUUGAGAGGUAAAUUUUUAAUAGAAGGCACCGAUAAAGACUCAAUACAGGUGUUGCAUGGCUGUCUUAAGCUCGUGUCGUAAGAUGUCAGGUUAAGUCCAUAAACGAGCGCAACCCUUAUCUUUAGUUACUAACAUAAUUAGAUGAGUACUCUAAAGAAACUGCCUACGAUAAGUAGGAGGAAGGUGAGGAUAAAGUCAAGUCCGCAUGGCCCUUAUGAGCUGGGCUACACAUGUGCUACAAUGGCAAUUACAAAGGGAAGCAACAACGUAAGUUGAAGCAAAUCGUAAAAGGUUGUCUAAGUCCGGAUUGUUCUCUGAAACUCGAGAAUAUGAAGUUGGAAUCGCUAGUAAUCGUGGAUC
rnacentral:rRNA from 1 species